GUUUUAAUAGCUUAUGAAGAGUGUAACACUGAAGAUGUUAAGGAAGUUGUUCAACUUUAGAACG
rnacentral:tRNA from 1 species